UCUAAAUUUUUUAAAGAAUUUCUUGUCCAACUUACGUGGUGUUUUCUCCAUUGUAUUUAGAAUGUCCUGCAACUAAAACUUUAUUCUCUCUUUUUUCCCCCGACUGUGCUACACUUAAGUAGUGAAUCUAGAAAAUGAGGUCAACUCCCUAAGUACAAAUCGUUAGAUUCAAGUUCGAAUGAUUAAAAAAAUAGGACGCUUCCCGACCCGGAUGAAAAUAGCCUUUGAAAAUGAGCCCGCGACGGUUGGUCGAGGAGGGUUCGGUGAGAAAGAUUUAAGAGAUUUUGGAGAAAGGGGAGAGGGAGAUUUAUUUGUCAUAUUUUUUGUUCUGUGUUACAGUCCUCUCUCUCUCUCUCUCUGUCUGUUGCCUAUCCUCAUGAGUAGGACAAAAUAAAUGAUUUAUUCCGUCACUCCUAGGACUCUGCCCAGGUUACUCAUGGGAGUAGGUCUCCUGUUAAUCUGAUCAGUUUGCUUAAGGCCUUCGAGAGUCAACGAUGAGGAAAAAUCAGGAGCUGGCGACCCUAAGGCAGUUUGCAUCACCCAUUGCUACACCCUGGCAGAACCUGCGACGCCGCUGACCCCAAACUGUAUCAGCACUGCCGUUCUUUUGGAUACAUCAGCUGCGUUGAGAGGGGGGAACUGAUGUGUGGGCGACAUCGUUCCGACCACAGCUAAUGCACAGGAAUUCAUUUCAGUUCCCAGAAGAAUAUCAAUUCUAAUUUAGUCUAGCGUUCUGUCUUUCAAUGUAUCCAUGUCUGGAUCAAUAUCACUCAACUAGAAUUGUAUAUACUCAAAGUACAUUUAUAAAUGGGCAUAACUAGGGAUUUUAUCUUGGGUGGGGAAAAUUGGUGCGGGAAAAAAAUGGUUCCAUUUUUUAAAUCAAUCAUACAUUAGGUAUUAGGAGCCGUGUGAUGUUCAAAUUAGAAUAGAUAAAAGAAUGAAUUGCUUAAUACAGAAGAAAUUGUAUCUAAAAAAAUUAUGUUACUUGAAACAUAAUAACAAGAAUAAUUAAAUUUAUAGAGCGCUUUAACAAACAAACUGCUUUGUUAAAUGAUUUGGUACGUAUAAUCAGACUCUACCAUAUGAACAUUCAGACAACGACAUAGGCCUAAAUAUCUUCCUCCGGUGUAUUGGAUGAAAAGUAAAAACAUUUAGAAUAAAGAAAAAAAAAACAACAGAACUAGACAAAUUAUUUCCCCUUAAAAAUGAAAGUUUAUUUAUACAAAUAGCAUUUUCUAAAGUCAUAAAGUUAUUUCAUACAUUGAAGCCAUUUAUCUCAUUCAGACCCACUUCAUUUAUACAGACCUAAACCUAAAUAAUAUUCAUUACAUGUUAUGUAAACACUAAAACGUAUAUUAUAUCAACAUAAUAAAACCAUAGCUCAUUUAUUUAUAAUAGAUAUGCAGGAUGUGAAAUAUACUCAAAGUAUUUGAUCACUUAAAAAAAAAGGAACAUUAUUCGAAAGAUAAUAAAAAUAUGUUGUAUUUUUAAAAUCUAAAACUUUCUUGUUUGUUUAUAGAUCUAGGUCAUGUGAGGUCAAUUUUUUAUUUAUUUUUUACUAUUAGAUUUUAUUAAAUAACCAUAAACGUUUUAAGUCUGAAAAACUUUGAAUAGUUACUAGUGUGUGUGUGUCUGUUGUCCCACAAGCGUACUUACUGACUGUUAAAAAGCCAUACCUAUUACAAAUAAUAUCUAUAGUGUAUGAAAUCCAGUCCUUUUAACAAAUAGCAAUAUAG
rnacentral:sRNA from 1 species